CUUCGGGACGGUCGAUCGAAUAAGGUCCCGAGGUGCUUUGUUCUAGGCUAGGGGCCAAUCAUAUGUUUAACCAUGAGGUGAUUGUUAUUCUCAGACUGUUUGGCUCGGUCUUGCUUGUGGGGGAAUCCGACCCCAACA
rnacentral:sRNA from 1 species